rnacentral:rRNA from 1 species
UACAGAGGUCUCAAGCGUUGUUCGGAUUCAUUGGGCGUAAAGGGUGCGUAGGUGGCGUGGUAAGUCGGGUGUGAAAUUUCGGAGCUUAACUCCGAAACUGCAUUCGAUACUGCCGUGCUUGAGGACUGGAGAGGAGACUGGAAUUUACGGUGUAGCAGUGAAAUGCGUAGAGAUCGUAAGGAAGACCAGUGGCGAAGGCGGGGUCUCUGGACAGUUCCUGACACUGAGGCACGAAGGCCAGGGGAGCAAACGGG